rnacentral:rRNA from 1 species
GGGCCCGCACAAGCGGUGGAGUAUGUGGUUUAAUUCGAUGCAACGCGAAGAACCUUACCAGGGUUUGACAUCCUGCGAAUCUCUUGGAAACGAGAGAGUGCCUUCGGGAACGCAGUGACAGGUGGUGCAUGGCUGUCGUCAGCUCGUGUCGUGAGAUGUUGGGUUAAGUCCCGCAACGAGCGCAACCCACGUCUUUAGUUGCCAGCAUUUAGUUGGGGCACUCUAGAGAGACUGCCGGUGAUAAACCGGAGGAAGGUGUGGAUGACGUCAAGUCAUCAUGCCCCUUACAUCCUGGGCUACACACGUGCUACAAUGGUAUCUACAACAGGAAGCAAAACUGCGAGGUUAAGCA